UAGUCGUAGUAUAACACAGUACACAGGAGUUUCAAUCCUAAAGCCCAAAUUACUGGCGACCACUC
rnacentral:tRNA from 1 species